rnacentral:rRNA from 1 species
UACCAGCUCUCCGAGUUGUAGGGAUGAUUAUUGGGCCUAAAGCGUUCGUAGCCGGCUUAGCAAGUCUCCUGUUAAAUUCAGCGACCUAAUCGCUGAGCCGCGGGAGAUACUACUAGGCUAGGAGGCGGGAGAGGUCGACGGUAUUUCUGGGGGAGGGGUGAAAUCCUAUAAUCCUCGGAAGACCACCAGUGGCGAAGGCUGUCGACCAGAACGCGCUCGACGGUGAGGGACGAAAGCUGGGGGAGCAAACCGGAUUAGAUACCCGGGUAGUCCCAGCUGUAAACGAUGCGGGCUAGGUGUUGAAGUUGCCACGUGCUACUUCAGUGCCGCAGGGAAGCCGUUAAGCCCGCCGCCUGGGAAGUACGGCCGCAAGGCUGAAACUUAAAGGAAUUGGCGGGGGAGUACCACAAGGCGUGAAGCUUGCGGUUCAAUUGGAGUCAACGCCGGGAACCUUACUGGGGGUGACAGCAGAAUGAAGGCCAGAUUGAAGGUCUUGCUAGACAAGCUGAGAGGAGGUGCAUGGCCGUCGCCAGUUCGUGCCGUGAGGUGUCCUGUUAAGUCAGGUAACGAUCGAGACCCGCGUCCCUAGUUGCUACCGAAGAAGUCUUUCCAAAGGGCACUCUAGGGGGACUGCUGUCGAUAAGACGGAGGAAGGAGCGGGCCACGGCAGGUCAGUAUGCCCUGAAUCCCCCAGGCUACACGCGAGCUGCAAUGACAGGGACAAUGAGUUCCGACCUUGAAAAAGGAAGGCAAUCUUUAAACCCUGCCUCAGUUGGGAUCGAGGGCUGAAACUCGCCCUCGUGAACAUGGAAUGCCUAGUAAUCGCGCGUCAUCACCGCGCGGUGAAUACGUCCCCGCUCCU